AUCUCUCUCUCUCUCUCUCUCUCUCUCUCUCUCGUCCUCUCCCCGACCGACGACGAGGCGGCACGGCACCAAGAUGUCUUCUCCUUAAUUUCUUGCAAAAAAACUCGCUCCGACACGCGUGCCGGGAGGGGGGGCUCCGCUUUUUGCAGGGAGCAAGGACAUGUCACUUCGUUAUCUUCUAGAUAUGCACGCAUCGAUUGCACACAACAGUGUGAGCCAUCUGUUUUUCUCUCUUCUGAUCGAUUCGAUUUGAUCUCCUUCUGCCAUCGCCCAGCCUGCAUGCCGGGGAGCUACUACCGAGGAGAUCAGGUCGACGACGCUGAUGGCGAGGACGGCUUAGGAGAAAGAAGGAAAGGAGGAGAGCCUCCUUCCCAUUUGAGCAACUGAGAGCCAUUUGAUGUGGUAGGUAGGCUUCUUUCUGUGAGGUGGUGGAGUACAUGGAAAAAUUCAUUGGUUUUGCAAUUCAUUUCGCAUGCAAUUUUCUCCUCGAUCGAUCUUCUCUCCUCCCAGCUAGCUCCCUUUGCCUUGGGAGCUGAAUCAUCAGUGAGGAGUGUUGCGGCCAGUACACUGCUCCACUGUAAGGAUUUAACAGAAUUAAACUGCACAGCUUCUCAUCUCUCUCUCUCUCUAUCUCUCUCUAUCUCUCUCUCUCUCUCCCAGUUCUUCUUCUGCUGUUCAUCCUCUCCCCCUAAUCUACAGCCUAUACUCUCUUCCUGUCUAGAAUAAGAGUGCUCAUUAAUUCUUAUUUUGCUCUUCUCCUUUAGUUUAUGGGUUUUAAGCUAGGUUCUUGGCGUAGCUGAUGAAUUGAUAAUGCUGGGCUUGCUUGAUGAGCUCCUGCUGGCUCAAAAAUGGAGCAUGCAGGUCACUAGGAGGAGAACUAUAUUUGGCAAGGACGACGGUGGUCUCACCAUUGCUUUGGUCAGAUCUGGUUGUUUGUAUAUAGCUCUCACACAUUUGGCCUUUUGGUUCUGGUUGGCCCCCCUUCAUGUGCUCAUCUUUUACCUCUCUUUCAUCUGGCUUUCUCUUUCAUUGAUAAGGAGGGGAUGAUAGCUACAUGAUGUAAUGGACAGUAUCAUCAGCUAGCUAGCCAGCCAGCUGCAAGUCUGCAUUAUCACUAACACUAAGCUCUACAUGUGCAGAUAAUGAAGAGGGAAGUUGGGAACAUAGCUGAUAAGAAGUGGAACAUAUGCUGCUUCUGGAAUAUUUAUCAUUUCUGACCGAUUGUGUCGUACAAAGCAUCUCUAGCUUAUAUGGAUUAUGGAGCAUGCUGCAAGAACACAUGUUUGGUGUCAACUGAAUUUUUAGAGGAUCUGCAGCCAAUUCUCACAAUGCAAGUUCGUUGAGCAAAGGGAGUUUGGUCACUUUGGUGUCAGCCCAAAUUUUAGAGGAUGUGCCAGAAAAGGGUGUUUGGUGUCUACUGAAUACAAACCGUUUCUUUCAAGCAAGAAGGGUCCUGAUGGAUCUAAUAACAGCUUCAAACCAUACAAUCUUUGCCCCUCCCUGUUACUGUGCUGAACUGUUGAAGUGUCACUUUCAGGAUGGUUAAUUACCAACUAAACUUAGUACUCAUUUAGGAGGAAAUUUCAGAACUGUUGAAUUUUUCCUUGGCAAUUCUUUAUCAGUGGUACGGUACUAUCAAACUGCGCCUUUAUUUCCAGUGUUCUUGGAGAGAUGUCGCACUCAAUAUUAGUUGGCCAUCAUAUACACAAAUUCAAAUUCUUUGCUUCCAAGGUACAUUGGUAGUACACACUGGUACUACUUCUAGCACCAAAUUGCAGUAUAUAGUAAUGUACUAGUGCUGCCCACAAGUACUUGGUUGUUAAUCUUCUCAUCUUCAAGGUAAUGGAGUGGCUAAUCCAAGGAUCGAGUUGUUGAUCACUUGUUCAUCUCCAUGAAAAAACAAAUGCAAUGCUAGGACAAACAUGUCUUGAAUGUCCAGUAGGCAAAUGUUCUGUUGUACCUGAUGAAUGUUGUAAAGAAUUCCACUGCAGAUGAGAGUUCACCAACUAACAUGUGACAUUAUCUACAAAGAAAUGAUAUCUUCAGACACGUUUCGUCAGAUAACAGAUCGUAGCUUAGCGGCUGUACUUGUAAUAUGAUUUGUUAUUGGAUCUAAUCUUCUCUGUAGUAAAAUAAUUGUAACACGUACACAACAUUGCACGUUAGUUCUAAGAACUUUAUUACUCACAAAACUGGUUGA